CAGGUUGCCAUGGCAAACAUUUUACUAAUCUCUAUCUCCCCAGGCUGAGAUACUCUCAAGGGAGGUAAAGUUUGUAUAUAACCCAGAGAUGUGAGCAAGCACAUUCUAGCCAGUGCUGGUUGUUAGGCAUUUCUGAAGCAAAAGGAGGUUUGAUUUGAAAAAGGAUCAUGCCCAGACUGGCUCUGAACUCCUGGACUCAUGUAAUCCAUCUGUGGAGUAGCUGAAGGGCCAAGGAAAGAGCCAGCAUAGCAUGGAAAAACAUUUGCUUCCAAUCCCUUUUAAUAUGCACUCUGGAAAACCAAUGCAGCAGAUACCUGACCUUCCUUGUGUUUUUCUGAGCAAGAAAAGACCUGAAAUCAAAAGGUGUAAAACCAUAGGAUUGGAAUGAACACGUUCAUAUCAGAGGGAAAAUUUCCAACUUACAUUUACCUGAAAGCCAAGGAAGAAUAAUAACCUCCUGUUCCCCUUUCGUAGAGCUCAGUAAAUCUGUCAUCUUCCUGCA